ACGCUGGCGGGCGCCUAAACAUGCAAGUCGAGCGGUAACAGGCGUAGCAAUACGUGCUGACGAGCGGCGAACGGGUGAGUGACGCUUCGGAAUCUGCCCAAUGGUGGGGAAUAACCAGCCGAAAGGUUGGCUAAUACCGCAUGAGCCCUUCGGGGGAAAGCGGGGGAUCGCAAGACCUCGCGCCGAUGGAUGAGCCGAAGUCGAAUUAGCUAGUUGGUAGGGUAACGGCCUACCAAGGCGACGAUCCGUAGCUGGUCUGAGAGGACGACCAGCCACACUGGGACUGAGACACGGCCCAGACUCCUACGGGAGGCAGCAGUGGGGAAUAUUGGACAAUGGGGGAAACCCUGAUCCAGCGACGCCGCGUGUGUGAAGAAGGCCUGCGGGUUGUAAAGCACUUUUAGUGGGGAUGAAAAGCUCAGGGCUAAUACCUCUGGGUCUUGACCUAACCCACAGAAAAAGCACCGGCUAACUCUGUGCCAGCAGCCGCGGUAAUACAGAGGGUGCAAGCGUUAAUCGGAAUUACUGGGCGUA
rnacentral:rRNA from 1 species